rnacentral:lncRNA from 1 species
AUCCAUAAACAGAAACUAGAAAUACAGCAUUUCAACCCAAAUCUAGGCCCAACAUAAGAAAAGAAACCCUAGGAGAAUGAGAAAGACCUGAAAUCAACUCCUACCCAUUUCUUGCAUGCUUCAACCAUGUUGGCUACCAAGAGGACGAUAAAUUUUCAACCUAAACAUCAUGGCACCCUACGAGUACUAGUGAGCUAGAUAGGAAAGUGAUGAAAAGCCUUAGAAAAGAAGCAGGCGCAUGGACUUUGAACUUUUGCUAGACAUGCCAGGAGAGAGGCUUGGUGAUGCGAGCUACUAGAUCUUGCCUCGAAGGAAGGCACUACCAUGAUGGUGAAACCUUCCAAUCACCAAUCGAUCAAGCUUUAGAAGCUUCUGAUAUAUAAGUAAGAGGAGAGGACUGCAGC